UAGGAACUUCAUACCAUGCUCGCGAUGAUUCCAAGUCCACAUCAUCAAGGCCAGUCCUGAUGUAACAUACCAGAUACCCACUACAACGACGAGUACAGUUAGGCCUAACUCGGUUACUUUUCACGUCGUUUAGUAGCAUACGUUGAUGACGAUUUUCUUUUUAUAAUUAUUAGUAGUCAUACAGUUACAGACUGACAUAACCGACCAGUAUGAUGGAAGAUGAAGAACAAAUAAUACCGAAAUAAAGGCAAAUUGGAAAAUAAAACUACUUGAAACAAUGCUUACGAAGAAAGUAGGAUUUUUAUGUUGUUAAAUACUGGGAUGACUUUAGUUACACAAGCAUGCAGUGGCGAAAACAAGGAGUUACUUAGCGAACUGGUUGUUAGACUUCGGAUAUUCGCACAAACCAAAGG